UACGAAGGGGGCUAGCGUUGCUCGGAAUCACUGGGCGUAAAGGGUGCGUAGGCGGGUUCUUAAGUCAGAGGUGAAAUCCUGGAGCUCAACUCCAGAACUGCCUUUGAUACUGAGAGUCUUGAGUUCGGGAGAGGUGAGUGGAACUGCGAGUGUAGAGGUGAAAUUCGUAGAUAUUCGGAAGAACACCAGUGGCGAAGGCGGCUCACUGGCCCGGUACUGACGUUGAGAUACGAAAGCGUGGGGAGCAAACAGG
rnacentral:rRNA from 1 species